CUGAUUUCCAUGAGAAUUCAUGUAAACUGGAGGUUGAACCGUGAGCAGAAGCCACAGAUCUCCUGUGCAGUAUUUUAAUAGGCUCCACUGUCAUCAUUAAAGAGGAGACUGCGUCAAUGUGAAUCAGCUGUGACAGGAUCUUCUCUUCACCAGGCUGUGUGUGUUCACAUAAAAAGGGCCGCUUGGUGCCUCAUUGGACUCCUUCUUCUGCACAAAGUGGACCAAUCAGGAGCUGCUGACUUCAGUCCAGAGGAACAGGUUGUUGUAAUGAAGAGAGGAAGGCUGUCAGAAAAAUCCUCAUCAUGAAAUGGGCUGCUUUCAUUGUCAACCUCUUUGGCUUCACCAAACAGCUGCUGGGGACAAACGCAGCGAGCACCCAGUUUGCUCAACAGAGGAAGUAAAUUGACACUCUAAGGGACCUAAUGAGGGAUCAAGAGCUCCCACCCCCACCAACAACAACAACUUCAGAGUUUAAGAGGUCAUUAAGGCAGCGUACUCAGCCUCUGCCUCAGGCCCUAAUGGUGUCCCUGCAUCGUUUACAAGGCCUACCUAGAGCUCCCCUGAUAGUCGCAGACCAGUGGAGGUAGGUGGAGGGAGUGUGGAUCCCCAAAGAAGAAAACUGCAAAAAUCUCAGUCAGUUUGAGUCAAACUCAAGGCUGAGUGUUGAAGGAAAAGUGUUCU